rnacentral:rRNA from 1 species
UACGUAGGGGGCAAGCGUUGUCCGGAAUCAUUGGGCGUAAAGCGCGCGUAGGCGGCCCGGUAAGUCCGUUGUGAAAGUCAAAGGCUCAACCUUUGAACGCCGAUGGAUACUGCCGGGCUAGAGUCCGGAAGAGGCGAGUGGAAUUCCUGGUGUAGCGGUGGAAUGCGCAGAUAUCAAGAGGAACACCAAUAGCGAAGGCAGCUCGCUGGGACGGUACUGACGCUGAGGCGCGACAGCGUGGGGAGCAAACAGG